rnacentral:misc_RNA from 1 species
AGUACGGUUUAAUUAGGUAGGGACGCCUUAGAUGCCAAUGAAGGACGUCUUAUAGGUCAACACAGCAUUUAGAGGUCGUCUUCAAGAAAUAAUAGCGAGAAAAGAACCUGAUUAAGUUUUUUUCGUGUUUAAGCUGUUUUCCAAUGGGGCGUUUACCCUCUUUUGGGAAGAAAUCAAUACUUGAAAAUUAAAGGAAUUUAUGUUUAUAUACAAAAAGGAAGUGCAUACAAAGCACGUGCGAAUAUUUCAUAUCAAAGGGUGAAAUUAACCACCCACAAUAAACGUUUUUAAACGCUGCAAUUUUCCUGAUGUCAAAUUAUCCGUCAGAAAAACGUGACUCUCUAAUCAUUUAUUGAUACUUCUCAUUGACUAGGAGUGACACGUUUCAGAAGAAAUGAGAAUUGGGCGUCUCUGCAGCAUUUUUCCACCGACGCCUUCUAAUUGCUUUUCCGCGUCACUGGCCAGCAAUGUUUGCCGCUGGAAUUUACAGCUCUCCAGUGCCACCGAUUCAGUUAUCGGCUGCAGGUCGCGACAUUUCCUCAGUAAUAUAGCCACGAGUUGCGAAGCAUUUACUGGCGAGCAGAAUCGUUUUUCUCCUUUCUUCUUUUAAGACGAAAGAGAAAGAAGAGAUAGGAAAGACGAAGAAGAUCAAGAGCACAACGAGAAAAAGAAUAUCAAGGAAAUAGAGGAAGAGGAGUGUAGAAGUGAUAAUCAAAAAUACUAUGGUGUUUUACUCAAAUGCGACCCUGAGGCAUCCUGCAUUUAUUAUGAGCAUUUGCUCGGAUCGUAUGGUGCAUAUAUUAUCCACAAUUGCCUUAACCAUAAACAUAUUUCUCAUACAAAUGGCUGAUGGAAAAUGUAACAAGGAGCAAGCUGAAUUUUGUAGAAAUGCAGCCAGAAACAAUUUGGAAGGCGGAAGUCGUGUGACAGAAAAUUCACUUCAUGCAAUAUCACCAGGCGGAAAAUGCGAUAUUCAAUCUUACGCUGAUGGAUUGUAUACACACGAGUGCAGAGUAGCAUCCUACAAACCCCAAAUCGACUAUUGCUGCUGUCAGUUUAAAAAAAAGGCGAUGUGUUGUUUAUACCAUCAGACGUGGGACAGGUUUAGAUGUAACGAAAAAGAGGACGUAAUCGAUACUUUUCCGUGGAAAUAUAACGGCCAUUAUGGGUCAAAUGGACCGUAUAAAAUGUCCCUUCCGUUACUCGUAGCUUUACCGAUCUCAGCCUUGCUGUUACUUUUGUGUAUAGGGGCAUCAGUUUAUUACUAUAGAAAGAAGAAAAAGGCGAAGCGAUAUGAGAAAGAUAGCGAGAGUUGGUGUUCGUGUUCAAAGUGUUAUGAAGAGUCCGAUACGGCAGACGAUGAAGACGAUAAAGACGACUAUUCUAACGUUCGAAAAACAGCGCCAUCUCCCGAAAUUGAUCGUCGCUGCUCGGGACCAGUUGGGCUAUUAGGAUUUCCACUGCAUACUUUCGAGGAACAAUACCCUGGUCCACCUCAAAGAAGAAAUGAUGAUAAUGAAUUCUUUCCAGUUAGACCAACGGCUCCUCCUUUCGAGCCGGAUUUCCAAAAUGAUAAUUUAAAAGAGGGAUUUCCUUCAAACAUGUGCGAAGGGGAGAACGUGCAAUAUGUUGCCGAAUCCUUUAGAGGACUCUUACCGCCUCCAUUAUACGAGGAAGUUCGACAUCAUCGAACAGCUCCUGAAUGCUAAAAAUAAUUAAUUAAUUUUAAAGUCAUUUAGUCAUGAACUGUAGAAAAAUAUGCGCAUUUUAGAUUUCUUAACAAAUUUCGUUCUGAUUUCCUUUUAUUUAUUUGUUUAUUUUGUUAUAUUAAUAUUAUUUUUUCGUUAUUUCUUAAAAUUUAUAUUAUCAGGAAUUAUCUCUCGUCUCGAAUGAUAAAAAAUGAAUUGAAUAAACUAGUUUAAUCCUAUUUAAGACCACUAAUCUCGAUAUAUAUAUAGACUAUGUAGUGAUCUAUAUAUUCACAAUAUAAAGCAUUAGACAUAUAGAUUUUUAAAAAUCUAUGCUUCAACUUUUCGUUAUUAUUUUUUCUUAUUAACAUUUCCAGACGUCAUUGACAUGCCUAAAAUAAAACUGGUAGGCCUUAAAUAUUCUUAAGAAAAUAACACAAUAUAUAGAUGGCGUCACCAGUAUAAGGUUAUUAAAACAUUAGAUUUAAUAGGAAAACUACUA